AGGUGGGGGUCAGCGAAUUAAGUUCAAAUCUUGGCCAUUUGAUCCCCACCUGAGACGAUACCACUAGGUGGAGUAGCUCGAUAAAUAAUCACACGGUGGCCGAGUACGGGGCCCUAACAAUUUUGAGCAAAAAGGGUGACUUCCGGGGAGUAAAUUUGUGUUGUUUUUGGUGUAAAGUUAUAGCCUCGUUUAUACCCUUAAACUAAAUCGUUUACGGUCGAACUACAUAUCAAAAGAAAGGGUUUAAUCUCCUCUAAACGAUGAAAUAUAAAUCUUUGAUAUGCAAGCAUUCACUGCGGAGAUAUAGGCGUAAAAAAAACACGUAUCAGCUCUAUUACGAAAUGAGGUCCUUUACGCGGUUAACCAUAAGUUAAUUAAUGCAGGGCUGAGAGUCAACAAACUUGGAGGAAAUAUAGUUCAGAUAUCCGACUACAAUAAUAAAAAAUAAAAAAACUGUCAGCUCUUCUUCUUUUUGUUUGCUCACGGUCAACAAAGUUGAAAAAUUCCUAAUUUUCAAGACCAAACCUACAUAGCCCCUAGACAGUUCCGAGUGCAAUUGGUUGACAUUUUGCAGGAAUUGUUGUAAGGGCGUAACAAAAUCUACAUUUUGCAGACUUCACCUAUUGGGUGGGUGGGUGAGUGGGCUACCUUUGGUGGUGCGCACUGAUCCGGUAGGAGGGGAACGUUCUGUUGCCACCCACCCAGUUAGCGCGCGGUAUCGAAAGAGGGCGCCCUCAUAUUACAUUACCGUCAUAAUGGCAGCCAUGGACAUGCCGUCUGUGCGGCUGCAAUGUGAUUUUAGUAAUUUAGUGUUGCAAAGCCAUCGAAUGUGGUGUAAAUCCCUCUUAUCUGCGCGAACUAAAUACAGUGCAACUUAAUCGAUGCACAAAAGACAUACGGAGCCAUUUGUAGAAGUGGAAAGUCGCUGCAUAUGAUGUGAAUGCCGAGUGGAAACUGAUCCUCCUGCGCCUGCGAUGUGGUUUGUUCGACGUCGAUGCAUACACUGAUCAUGAUAAGACAAUACGUUCAGCGCAUAGAUACAAGUUAGGGUUGAGUUGGACAUCAUCAAGGAAAUGUUGUCAUCCACUCCAUAAAGGGAAAGGCUAACCAUUCCGUGGUGUGAAUAAAGCAACUAGCCGUGAGAUCAUAGAUGUUUGAUCGAUGGGGUACCCUGAUCACUGUUGUGUUGGAACAGGUAUCUGUAGAGGUUGUCUAUCUUAGCACAAACAAGCAGUUACGCACCAGACAGCGGAACAAUUACCAUCUAGUGAUGUGCUCUCUAAGGAACAAGAAGAGCAUCAGUGUACAAUCAGUGAUUUCACAUCGCCGGUAGGUGUACCAUCUCUCCAACCCACCGACACAGAGUGCACUUCAGUUCAUGAGCAUACAUCUGAGUCCUCAUCAACUGAUGGAGAUAUUACACAGGAUGUAGGUACACUUGACUCUUCUUGGGCAACAACCCCCGACCAAAGAAUGUGCAGCUGCAAUCCCUGAACACUUUCCUUACUCAGGGGGGAAUGUCUGCUGUUGAUGGGCAGCUUCGUCUGUCAUUAGAAGAAGCAUCUGAUAGCACCAUCCAUUAUUAUAGAAGGAAGGCAAAGGAAGCCUUUGGUUUAGUUCUUCAUUGUUUAGCACCAGGUCAAGAAGAUGGGCUCAUGAAGAUUACAAUCGGUGAAACAACUGCUGAAUCAUCACAAAGUGGUCAAAAUUUUGAUAGUAGUGCCCGUCUUCCUUUUUUUUUUAAUAGAGAACUAGAGAUUCGAGACCUCAGAAUUUGCUCUUUAUAAGCAGCAGUAGGACAUCUUUGUAAAAGUGUUCUUUAUAACAAAAGUCGACUGUAGUACUACCAUUUUACUUAUUUGGUGGGGUGGAUAACAGGUUUAAGGUUUGGAUAAAAAUUAAUUGGAUCCUUUUUGAUUAUUGUUUUUUUUGAAAGGUUUUCCUCAAAUUUUGGUUGGUAAAAUAAAUCAUUCUUUUUUGGUCUUUCUAAAAAUUUGUUUGUCAUUGUUUCUAUUUAUUCAAAUUCCUCUCUACUUGUUCCUACCCCAUCUAGGUCUAUCUCAUUUUUGACAGCGAGUACCCCAACAUUUAGCGUUUUUCUCAUUCAAUUUAUUAUUUUCCAAGUUUAUUAAUUUUCCGGGUUACAUUAACAUGCCAAAAAAUAACAGAAUUGUCAUCCAAGCCUCAUCAUUCCCACAUUUGGUGCGCGAUAUGUGGCAGUGUGUAACCCCCCUCCCCCAUUUUAAAUGAUUAUUGGGGGAUACUUCUGUUAACAAAAAGACAAGUGUGUGUUGAGUAUAGGGACAUUUGUGGGGACUCCCUCUGCCACAAAUCGGGCAGGGUAUACAUUCCAUCCUGGACUCUGAAAGGUGGCGGCCAUAUUGAUUUAAAGUGAACCCCCCUACCCUAAAAAUGGGAUAAAUUAAGGAAUUAUAGCACCCCUUAUGGCGUCUCCAGUAUUAAAAUAGGUUUUAAUUUUAUUGAUCAU